UCUCGCGCAAGCGCGCACGCGCCGACCUUAAUCGCUGAGCCGGCACCCGCAGCGGCGGCUUGGGGUGUUCGGCUCACGUGGGGCUGGCUGCGCGUCUUCCAGGCUGUUCUCGCGCUAGUCGCUGCUAAGGGGCCGGCCAUGCGCGAGGAGCUGCGGCGAGGAAGGUCGGUCAGUGGACAUGGCCGAGGCUCGCGGUGUCCGCGUGUGGGAGCUGCAGGGCUGAGGAGAGGCCGCCCGCGACCCUCGGGAAUCCUGUGAGCCCCUGAGAUUCCUUAGUGCGUCCUGGGCACUGAGCUUUUUCACCGAGGCUGGACUGAAGUGGCGCGAUCUUGGCUCACUGCAACCUCCGUCCCCUGGGUUCAAGCGAUUCUCCUGCCUCAGCCUCCCGAGUAGUUGGGAUUACAGGUGCCACCACCGCGGCCCGAACCCGUGUGGAAUGUUCCACUUUGACCAGUGUCUGCGAAAUGGCGGGGGGCUUAGAAAAUGGUGCAGUUUGGACUAACAGAUACGGCGACAUCAAAAUGUUUCCUGGGUCUGUUAAGUCCUGGGUUUGUUAACAUUAUUAAUCUGUUCCUGUAACCCGAAACAUCUUGUGAUUACUAAGAAAGCAGCCAACAGGUCUCUGCCUUAUUUUACCCAGCGCCUCUUCAGGAUGGAAUUGCUCCGGUUCCAAUGCCUCGGACAGCCUUGCUGCUUGAGCUCUAGGUUGUGACCGUGUCAGGGAUAGAGGCAGCUUAGGUGGAGGUAGACUUUCUUGUAUUCGACAUUGAACUGUGGCUUAUUAAAAGCAGAACUUUUAUUCUUGCAGUAGUACAGUAUUAUAAGGGUAAGCAAAAUAAUGAACACAUUUCAUUCUUAAUUACACAUUGUAGCACGAAAUAACUGAUGCCUUUCUAAUGCAAAUAAAAGAGAUUUAUGUCUAUAAUA